UUUUUUUUUUAGGGCUUUACCCACGGCAUAUGGAGGUUCCCAGGCUAGGGGUCCAAUAAGAGCUACAACUGCUGGCCUACGCCACAGCCACCAAUGCCAGAUCCAAGCUGAAUCCGAGACCUAUACCACGGCUCAUGGCAACGCCAGAUACUUACUUAACCCACUAAGCGAGGGCAGGGAUCAAAUCCGCAAUCUCACGGUUCCUAGUCGGAUUCGCUUUCCCUGCACCAUGAUGGGAACUCCCAAAUUUCCCAAGUUUUGAUAACUGCAUUAUGGUUAAAAAGAGAACACUUAGAAAAUGCAUCCUGAAUGAUGCAGUGAUUAGAGAAGAGAAAGAUCUCCGGUCUCUCCCACCUCCUAAGUCUUGUUGCUCUGACUGCUCAGCUUCCCUGUAGGGAGCAAGCUGAUGCCUUGGCCUUGAGCACCCACCCGCAGAACGAGCACCAGCCUGGCAGCCAAGCCAGCCUAGCCCAGUGAGAGGCAGAGCCACCUAGAGCCCUAACCCUGUACACUGCAGAUUGUAUGUCAUACAACUUCAGAGGAGAGCAGUAUGCGCAAGGUCAUUAGGAUGUGGUGAGGUGGGGAGAAAGGAGAAAAGCAUUUAAGGGAAAGAGGACUGUGCGAAAGGGAAGGAGGCAGGAACGGGUCUGACAAAUAUGGGGUUCAAGAGAAGAACAGCAGGUGGUGUCUUGCUGCAACCUAGCGCCUGGUAUCACAACUGUUCUCCUUGGCCUGGACCACCUGGCUGCAAUGUCCCCAGCAAAGAAAGAGCUCAGAAAAGAAGGAUGUGGGCACCAGGUCCAGAGGCCUGGCUGUUCAUCAAGAUGCCAGAACACCACCUUAGUCCCAGGCAAAGAACUCACUACAUAACACCACUGGCAGCUAUGGCAAGAACCCAGGAGCUCCUGUACGGUUCAGUAGUUCACCUCCAUGAGCAAGGUCAGAUGCAUGCCCCCACCCUUCCUCUCCUCUCCCUCGUGCCUCACAUGACCAAUGACCAAAAUUCAGCCUGAGCCGUGUCCACACUGGCCCAGCCCAAGAAUCUCCACUGCUGGGAGAACAAGAUUGCUAUAAAAUAGCUGCAUCAGGACACUGUUCCAUCUGCAGCAGAUCUGUCCCUCAGACUCAGGCAGGUUCUUAGCAAGACUACAGUGUUGGUUGUUUCUCUGCAGACUUUCCCCCUAUUUAGCAUAUUAGUAAAUUAUUUACUUAAACAUGGGUUGAGAAAAACAAAAACAAAUAUGUAAUCUGCUAAGCAGUCUAAGAGACAAUUUAACAUUCUUGUUUGAUUUCAUGUAACAGAGUUGGAUUUUUUUUUUUUGUUGUUAUAACUGAUGAGAUUUCUCAGAGAAAUCUGAAGACAGAAUGAUAAAAGCUAGGCUCUUGACAUAAACUACACAUUCAUUUAAGUCUCCCUAUACUGUGUAAGCAAAACCCCAACACUGUCCCUUGUCACCAGCCUUUCCUGUGCUUCUAAAUUCUGGGUGGUUCCAGGGCCAAGCCUGAGGGUAGGGCAGCAGUAGAAAUAGCAGACCUGCAGUCUUCGACACUGCUGCCUGGAAACCCCACAGCAAAACCCUGCUGGGGAGGAGCAGAUGCAUGUGUGCUGCACACACAGUCAAGGGACACACACAGGGGCAGGCAGCCAGGCUUGCUGGAACCACCUGCCUGUAUGUUAGCCCUAAACUCGCUACGCAGUUAGAAAACCUACCCUCACGCUCUGAUGCCACCUGGGCCAAGACUGGCAAGAAGCGUGCUACAUCCCGCCGCUGUUCAACUCUUCCUGCAAGGCUGGAGGCUGACUUGUGUCAUUUAACCAGGUGUUGUCACCGUCUUAUCCUUCUACAUCGUUUUUUAUGUUAAGUGAAAACAUCUUCUAAGAAAACAAAAAAGCCUAUGAAGAACACUGAUGCGAUUAAGAAAAGCCCAUGGGCUAGAACAAAAGUUGGGGUGGGGUGGGGGUGGGUAAAGCAUUUUGAGAAAAGUGAAUGUAUAAAAAACACAACAUUGAUGCUGCAUAUGUCCUAACCUACUGUGCAUACAACUUGGUCUGUGAAAGGAAAAUAAAGGAAAAGCAUGAAAGACCUGACGCCGAUCACUUGCUGGUGAUAGGAGAAGCCACAAAUACCUGACACCAAGUUUUAAAAGAAAUUUUAGAGCCCAAGGAAAACACUAGCUGAGUGCCCCAGUCAGCUGAACAAACCUUUCUUCCCCAAUAUCCCUUUCCUGACUGUCCCAACACCCCACACCACAUCAGACUCGCCUGCUCCAGCCUCCUCCUCAUUCAAGGCAGCUCCUUUGGAAUGAAGAGGACACAUUAAUCAAAGGAAAAGGGGGAGACCAGGUCAGAUAAGACAAGGCUUCAGUAACUCAAGGGAAAGUCUUUUUCUCCCAGGGGGAAAGGCAGUUUCAAGGGCUGACAACCUCGCUGUUAUAGUGCAGACUAGACCAUGCAGAGGGCUGGAGUUCUCAUAGAAGAGGUUCUUUAGCCAAGCCCAAGCCCACCACAGCUGGGGCUGCACUCAGAGGGGCCAGAGGUUCCCAGGAUCCCCCCAACCUGCCUUAGUCUCUGCGACCACACCUGACAGCUGUCCACAACUGAGGCUGAACCAAAGAGCUACAGGUGGAAGCAUAUCUACUUUGUCUACACCCGUGUGGAGUGUGGUGGACAGUCAACAGAAGCCUGUUAAUAAUGAGUAGCUUGCUGCAUUAGUCUAAAGCAAGGUCUCCAGAACCAGAAGGCCUAGCUCUACCACUCAUUGGCUGUGUGACCCUGGGCAGGUUACUUAACUUCCCUGUGACUCAGUUUCCUUACCUAUGAGAUGGAGACAAUAUUAGCACCUACUUUUCAGGGUGGCUGUGAGGACUAACUAGGCUAAUCCGCAGUGCCUGGCAUGGAGCGGGUCCAGCGGAUCUGCCCACAUUAUCAUGCCAUCUAUCUCAGGAUCCACGGCCAAUCGGACGGGGGCUGGGAGAAGGUCACUGGGUCCUCGUUUCUUCUCCUACAGCCCCAAAGACACAAACAGGAGACCUCCCCCAAGGGGAACCCAUGAGGUCUGGGAUGUGCUUACACGGUUUUAAAGCAAAGAGUCUCAGAGAAACAAUCCAAAAGAAGCAUGAGGUAAACGCAGAACUUGACUUAACCACCCAAUAAUGUAAUUCACCAUCCUUUUAAGUGUAAGGUGUAGAAAACAGGCCUGAAUUGAGUCAAGGUGGCUCUCUGGAACUGGCUGUUUUUCUGGGAGCCUCUGCCGCCCCAUCUCCAUCCCCCAGAACUGAUGGCCAUGUCCAUGAUCUCCCACUUGGACCCCUGCCCUCACCACUCCCUCUGUACUGAGAGCCCUUGGUAUCUCCUCCACCUCCAGUGUUGUAAUGAAGCAGGGCUUCCUUGUGGUCUCUUUCUGAGGUCUCCUGGCAGAAUCCCUCCUCUCCAGUCUGUUCAAACGUCUACUGACCUCUUCACACUGCACUGUAAUGAUGUGCCAGCCCCUCAAGGACAGAGGACUGGGUCCCAGCUCUCCCUUGUCAAGGCAGCCCGGCACUGUACUUGGUGCUCAGGUCCUUAGCAGAUCUGUUUUGUUAGGGCUCAUAUGACAGUCUGCUAAGUAAUCCACAAACUGAAUAAAUAAAGUUCCCAAUGGGUGAUUCUGCCCCCCAGGGGACUUCAGGCAAUGUCUGGAGAUAUUCUGAGUUGUCACUAUGGGAGUGGGGGUGAAGGAGCUACUGAUGUCCAGUGGAUUGAGGCUAGGUAUGCUGCUAAACAUCCUAUAAUGCACAGGAAAGGGCACACAGCAAAGAGUUAUCUGGCCCAAAAUGUCAAUGGUGCCAAGUUGAAAAACCCUGAGUUAAAUGGAUAACUUCCUAGCACUGGAGUGAUGCAAGAGAUGCACAGACCUCUUCUACAGAUGCCAUGAAGAAAAGGAUAACUCUUAAGGGCCAUCCCUAACUCUUAACAUUAACUAUUUUCCUUAUAGUCAUAAAGCACAAAGCACCAGGGAAACAAAUCUGUAAACCUGCAGGUAACCUGAAAUCACCAAGGGCCCUGGAAAUCCCUCUUCCCCAGUUACAGGAUGGACCAUGUACGCUUCCCCCAAGGCCCUGCCUCAGAGUCUGGACCUUGGUCCCAGAGUGGAAUCACCAUCCUUACUCAGCCGGGCCUGAAAAGCAAAUGCAAGCUGUAACUCAUACAUCCAUAAAAUAACCGGUAGUUCAUCCACAAUUCAUAUGGUUAAUGUUAUCAAUAGCCACAAAACAGUCUGAAGUUCCAGAUACUACUUUGAACAUAAAAUGUAAUUAUUAAGAAACUCAGGCUGGUCCAAAUAAGAAGAAAAUGAGGUGAGGUGGCCGGGGAUAGAGAGUAGUCAGAAGCGCACCUGUGUGGAAAGGAGGGGGUGAAAAACGGCACCAGGGGAAGAGGCUGAGAGCAUUUGGGGUCUGAGGGACCUGGCUCACAUCUCAGCUCUGCAGCUACUGACUGGGACCUGGUGCUACACACUUCCCCUGCUCACCGUCCUUGUUUGUAACAUGAAAAUCACCCUAUUCCACAUUUCUGUGAGGCACAUCAAGUACUAAAAGCACAAGAGCUAGCACACUGGGGACUCAAUAAAAAAGCCAGCUGCAGCAAAGCCAGCUUUAGUGGCCAAGUGCCCCCACCUGCUACCAUGGGGCCUGGGGCUGAUGAAGCCAGGGACUCGGACACAGUUCAACCACCUGUAAAUGGGCUGCCCCAGUCUACCCGCUGCCCUCUCAAGGCCCAUGUGAGACUGUAGGUGAAAACACAAGAAAGGGUCAAGUGAAGGAAAGGGAUUACCACCUACACCAAAACCACCUGGUCUGGGGGCAUACUAACUUGGAAUUGACAAUGGUUGUGCUUGCUGGGUUAUAGUUUUUUACUAAUAUGCAAUCUAACAGAAGAAGGUUAAAGGUAGAGAUACUGAGUAAACAAGACAGAAAUGGCAAUGUUUAACCUAAUUCAGAAAACAAGUUACUCCAGCACUUGUGAGAUGUUCUUCACCUGAACACAUGAAUGCAAACAGAGUCACCACAAUGAGGCUGAUGGCAUCUACCUUUCCCCCUCCUCCACUAUGGAGGGCCCAACAUGUGCCUGACACUGAGCCAGCUUCCUUACAGUCUUUCCAAACUUCACAGUUCCAGAAAAACCAUCAUCCUCAUCCUGCUGGGGAGGAAAUCAAAGCUUUAAGAAAUACGGGGGUUGCUCAAGGGCAGUACAUGGCAGGAGCAGAAAUGAAAGCCAGGUCACAUCUGUUCCAGCACCAGGGAUGUUGCUAUUUUUCAACCACUUACAAAAUUUCAACAAGACUUCAUCUUCAUACAAUUAUUAUACUAAAUGUAAAGAAUUUUAAACAGACCAUUAAAGCAGUAGAAGCUUGACAGGCCCCUAUAGGGCAAUAUUUGCCAAAUGGAGGUCUAAGUCUAAAAAAUGCAUUUUAUUAUAUAACUCUACAACUCAGACAAUUCCCUAAUUCAGACAACUCCUUCUUGCCCUGAUUUUAAUCCAAAUUAGUGAUGUUUUAUUACACAUAAAGGAGUCAAUCACCAUUAUGGAUAAAUGCUACCAGACAAAGCAGCAUUUAGAAAACUUUCUAAAAAUAAACACACCUCCCCAACCAACCAGCCAUCAUGCUAAUGUUGGCCAAACUCCCUUCCCCGUGGGCAUAAUACCAGCCUGGGACAGAAAGACAUGUUCUUCCUGUGCCCUGGCUGGCACUCCAGGGGAGGAAAGGGAAGUAACAUUUAUUGUGUGUUGGGUACCAGGUCCAGAGACAGCGCCUUCACUCAUGAGCUCCAGCUUCAUUUCUAAAACCCAUCACUGGGUUUCAUUAUUUAACCAGGAGUGAAAAGUCACUGGGGAAUUGAAUAGUCACAGGAUCUCAAGUAUCAUCACUACAGAGAUCAUUUAUUAAUUGCAAAGAGGAAAAUGUACCUUUAUAAAGGAGGAAGCUGGAGAUCUUUGGAGCUCUUUGCCCAGUAACCAACCAUAUUAUCACUAAUAGAGGGACUGCCUAAUGUCAUGUGCUGCCUGGUGAGAUGUAAUAUGAAGCGCAGAGCACCAGUCACAGAGCAUUCAAUGAAAUCCAACAGCAACUCCAGACCAAACUCAGGAAACAGAGAGGUCAGUGAAACUGCCCAAACACCACAACAAGGUAGUACCCAGACAAGACCCGAAGGUGGUACACAACACAUGACAACUGGCCAGGACUUCUUCAAAUGCAAUGGCAGUUAAGGAAAAACAAAAACAAAAACAAAAACACACAACUCUGUGUGUGUGUGUGCACGUGCGCAUGUGUGUAGGGCAGAUUCUCUAGGGUACAUAAAUGACUUAAAAACAUAACCAAAUGCAAUGUAUGGACACUGACUGGAUCGCAGUUUUUCAGAACUCCAGCUAUAAGAGACCUGUGACAUCUGGGGAAGUGUGAAUAUGGACUGGAUAUUACAU
rnacentral:lncRNA from 1 species